GACGUAGGGCGCGAGCGUGUCCGGAAUUAUUGGGCGUAAAGGGUGCGUAGGCGGUUUGGUAGGUCUUAUGUGAAAUCUACAGGCUCAACUUGUAGUCUGCAUGAGAAACUGCCGGGCUUGAGUAUGGGAGAGGUGAGUGGAAUUCCUGGUGUAGCGGUGAAAUGCGUAGAUAUCAGGAGGAACACCUGUGGCGAAAGCGGCUCACUGGACCAUAACUGACGCUGAUGCACGAAAGCUAGGGGAGCAAACAGG
rnacentral:rRNA from 1 species